CGAUCUGAAGAAAAGUCGGGGAAAACUUCUUUGUGGGUCAUUAUGGGUUUCCUGUCCUGAGUCCCUCCUGGGACCGUGGGCAGCAGAGGCCUGUCUCUUGCACAUGGUGAAGUUUCCCUUGUGUGUGUGGUUGUGGCACAGGAAGGAGGCGUGUGGAUCUUACACCUUAGGAACCUUCUCACCUUUCAAGAUUGACUUCGAAACCUCAUGUUGCCUGAGCAAGAAGCCCAGCAGGGGAGGAGGAGGAGGAGGAAGGAAGGCCAGGAGUCAGGAAUGGCUGUUUCUCAGGGACCAUUGACCUUGGAGGACGUGGCCGUGGAGUUCUCUCCGGAGGAGUGGGCCUGCCUGGACCCUGCGCAGAGGGCCUUGUACAGGGACGUGAUGCUGGAGACCUACAGGAACCUGCUCUCCCUGGAUAUCUCUCCUAUACAUGUGAUCAAGAAAUUACAACCGAAAGUAAACACUGAUAGAGGAGAAGCAUUCCAGACAGUGAAGCUGCAAAGACAGGAAAGGAACAAAAUCAAACAUUUUUACCUGAGGGAAAUCCAGGGAAACACAUACGACCUUGAGUCUCAGCAGAGAGAUGAGGAAAGAACUGACAAAGGAAUGGCUGUAACGCAACACGAAAAUCUCACCGCUAAGCGAGAUCGACAUGGUACCAGUAUUGCAGGGAUCAGUCCUGCUGGUAGCAGGUUUGCAGUAAGCUUUCAGGAUGAACUGCAUGGAUUUAAAAGUGCAGAGAAAAUUCUUCAAGCUGACUCGAGUCUCCGUAGUCGUGCCUCAUUUUCACCACCUCAAACAGUGUCUCCUGUCAUCCAAGCCAACAUCCCUAACACAAAUGGGAGUGAUUUUCCUCCUCCUUCCAUACUGACGCAAGACCAUCGUGAACACAGGGAAAGCCCGCACAGAUAUAAUCGGGGGAGUGAAACUUUUCAUCAGGACCUAAACCUCACUGAACCUCCGAUCAUCCUUGCAGGAGAGAAAGUGCAUGACCGUGAACUUUGCGGCAAAGUCUUUCGUCUGAACUCAGAUCUUGCAGUUCAUCCGAGAAAUCAUACUGGAGAGAAAGCUUACAAACCUCCUGUGCGUGGCCAAACCCUGAGUCCCGGCUCACACAACACAGGACCUCUGACAAGCCGUAUAGACGAGAACACGUAUACAUGUGAGGUGUGCAAAAAAGCCUUCCGUCGAAAGUCAUACCUCGCCAUGCAUCAGCGAAUUCAUGCCGCAGAGAAAGCCUACACCUGUGAUGUGUGUGGCAAGAAGUUUCAUCACAGUUCGAAUCGAAGGAGACAUCAGAGAAUCCACACAGGAGCCAAGCCGUACGCAUGUGACGUGUGCGGUAAAGGCUUUAAUCGCAAUUCAAUCCUCGCGCUUCAUCGGCGAAUUCACACGGGCGAGAAGCCCUACAAGUGUAACGCGUGUGGCAAGGUCUUUAGCCGAAAAGGAACCCUUGCGAGUCACCAGAGGAUUCACACGGGAGAGAAACCUUACAGAUGUACCCAGUGUGGCAAAACCUUUCACCACCGCUCCGUCCUCCUGCGCCAUCAGAUGAUCCAUAAGGGGCUUAAGUUGCAUAAAUGCGAUGUCUGCGGCAACGUUUAUAGUCGCAGAUCAAAUCUUGUCAUUCAUCACAGGACUCACACUGGAGAGAAACCUUACACAUGCCAUGCGUGCGGCCAGGUCUUCAGUCAGAAAGCAUCCCUUGCAUGUCAUCAGGCAGUUCAUACGGGAGAGGAGCCUUACAAAUGCAGUGAGUGCGGCAAAAGCUUCCACCACAGUUCAAACCUCAGGAAACACCAGCUCCUUCAUAAUGGAGGGAAAGAAUAUAAAUGCGAGGUGUGUGGCAAAGUCUUCCGUCAAAAUGCAUACCUCGCAAAGCACCAGAGACUUCACUCUGGAGAGACCCCUUACAGGUGCAGCGACUGUGGGAAGGUCUUUAGGAAAAAAGCAAUUCUUACACUUCAUCAGAGGACACAUACCGGAGAGGAGGACGCUUAUCAAUGUCACGAGUGCGGCAAAGUCUUUUGUCAGAAAGGCACCCUUGCAAGGCAUCGGCUCAUCCACGCUCGAGCCACACCUUGCACAUGUGAUGCGUGUGGCAAAACCUUUGAUCAGCACGCAACCCUCGCUCGCCAUCAGGCAACCCACGCAGGCGAGAAAUUACAUAAAUGUGAUAUCUGCGGCAGAAUCUAUCGUCGAAAGUCAGACCUUGCCAUUCAUCAGAGAAAUCACACUGGCGAGAAGCCUUACCAAUGCCAUGAGUGUGGCAAGACCUUUAAUUACAGAUCGAAACUCAGUCGCCAUCUGCUAAUCCACACGGAAGAGAAACUGUAUAAAUGCGAUGUGUGCGGCAGAGUCUUCAGUCAAAAUUCCUACCUUGCCAGACACCAGAGAAUUCACACUGGAGAGAAGCCUUACGAAUGUAGCGCCUGUGGCAAAACCUUUAAUGAUAAGUCCGCCUUCAGCCGACAUCUGAUGAUCCACACAGGAGCAAAACCUUACAAGUGCGAUGUGUGUGGCAGCGUGUUCCGUCGCCGUUCACACCUUGCCGGGCAUCAGAGAAUUCACACUCAAGAGAGACCGUAUACAUGCAAUGUCUGCGGCAAGGUGUUUACCCAGAAUUCACAUCUUAGGGUGCAUCAGAGGGUUCACACUGGAGAGAAACCUUACAAAUGUCACGAGUGUGGCAAGGUCUUUAGUCAGAAUCCAACCCUUGCAAAGCAUCAGAGGAUUCACACCCAAAAGAAACCUUAACGAUGUCGCGAGCGUGGUCAAGUCUUCAGUGAAGAGUCUCGGCUUGAAACUCAGUGGAAAAUCCAUGCUGUGCAGAAACCUUUCCUUCCGAAGGGUUGUGUGUGGAAACGCCUUCAGUCAGAUUUCCACCCUCGUCAGGUAAUGGGUACACAGGGGACGUCAUGCCGAUGUGACCUGUUUGGCAAGGACGUCAGUAAACACAGACACUUUAAAUCCACGGGCCAUUCACAGUGGGGAGAAUGGGUGUGAAUAUCUUAAGUGUGGCAGAGCCUUACGUCCAACCACGGAGCCCCUGCUCGACAGAAACUGGAGCAACCUCGUGCCUGUCUCAGGAGUCUUAAGUCAAAAUUCAUGCCUUCACGAUCCACCAAGAAAUUCCGACUGGAGAUAAACCUCACAAGUAUCAGGAGUCUGGGGAAUUCGUCAGUGUACUUUCAAGCCUAACUUACUGUCAGGUCAUCCCUAUUGGGAGAGAUUUUAAUAGAGCAAGGGUUUUAGCAGGUGUCCUCAUCCACGUGUUAUUGGAGAAGUCACGCUUGAGAGAAAUCAGGUGCAUGUAUUUCAUAUGACCAGGCUUUCAGACCAGAAAGUCAUCCACCAAAGAAUUCACUCUGCAGAUGACCUCACACAGGCCACGCGUGGGAAGAACCUUUACUCAGGGCUCACAUCUCACGAAUCAUCAGACUCUCCCCACAGGACAGAAUAUGACAGAGGUGCCGAAGGUGGCAACGCUUUUCUAUUGUGCCUUAAACAAAGCCUUCACCAAAUGCUCCAUGCUUACAAAUUGAGUGAACAUGGCAAUUUCAAAGUAUUACACACUCACCCCUGGACACCAGAGUAUCCGUCCUGGAAGAAAAACCAUCAGAAUGCAGUGUGCAUGGCGAAGAUUUUACCCAACGAUUCCAAGAUGGGAAGGUCCUGAAAUAAUACCUUCCAAACGCGAGGAGUGUAGCAAAACCUUCUACCUGAGGUUCAAAUAUUCGGUAACGUGGGCAGUUCAUUUGAAACCGUACAAUUGCGGGGGCAGAGGCUUUACCCAGUCCUCGCAAGGAACUAGACUCUUCAGUGUACAUGUUUGAGAAGCCACACAAAGCAGUGUGUGUGCCAAGGCUGGUACCUGAAGAUGGAAGCUGUGAAACGUAGAGAAUUAAUGUUGGAGAGCUGCGUUUCGGAUGCAGUGAGGGUUGUUGACAUUUUCAUCAAGUGUUGACAACGUCGACGUGACCUUAUGUCAAUAUUUUGAAGUCUGUGGCUCUUAUGCCUUUGCUACAGGCCUUUCAGGGUUGUCCCUGGGCAGGAAUCCAUAGGAUAAUACACCUGACAGCAUUAGGUGGGGUUCCCUCGCAUCCACGUUCCCUGGACAAAGUGGGACCCUGGAUUUUCCGGUUCAACAGCACGUGCAUUAGCCUUAGAGAAAACCCCAGGCAAAACCGUGACACGACUCAUCCCGCUUGUCGGGUUCUGGGCGCCCUUCUGUAGACAGGCUGCUGCGGGUUACAGGACAGAAUCCUCUCCCGGCUGACGGUGAACGGGGCAGGAUGGGCAUCAGGGAGCCCCGUUUUUCCCACGAGCAGAGUGAGAGGUUCCCAGGCACUGAUUAUGCAGUGGAAACAAUGCUCAGGGGACGUGAUUGGUGGCAUGGUGACCAGAAGCUGCACUGUAUGUUGAGCAGGACAUCCUCUUUGCUCUGUGGUUGUCACAGCCCUUUGGGGGGCUGUGCCUGCUUGGCAGCUGUUGGAGUAGAAGCCCCCACACCUGGUUCUGAGCUGCAGUAGGAAGAAGGCAGGACUGGAGCCUUGUUCCUGCCCAGGAGCUGCCCAAGGCAGUGCCAGAGGCAUGCAGAAGUUUUCAGCCCUGGGACUGAACCCAUUCCACCACCAGAUUCUCAGCCACUAGGCCACCAGGAAACUCCCUCUUACAGCUUUGAUUGUAUGAAAUCUUCUGCCAGCAUUCAGCAGGUGUUCUGUGAGAAUUGUUCCCCAUGUAGAUUUUUUUAAUUACAAAAAAUUUUUUUAUAGUGCCUCACCUGCAGCACAUGGAAGUUCCCAGGCUAGGGGUCAAAACAGAGCUACAGCUGCCAGCCUACACCACAGCCACACAGCUCAUGGCAACACCGGAUUGUUAACCCACUGAGCAAGGCCAGGGAUCGAACCCACAUCCUCAUGGAUCCUAGUCAGGUUCAUUAACCCCUGAGCUGCAAUGGGAACUCCCACUCUCCCAUCUUGAUCUCUUCACGUGGCUUAGGCCUUCUGAAAACCAAGCCCCCAUUUAAGAGCCAUCCUGGAUCCCACCCAUAGACCCACAAUCAGCUCCAUAGAACAAAGGAUAUUCCUGAGGCUCUUAUCUUUUAGGAAUUCACAGGGAAUUAGAGCCUGUGUGAGAGACUAGGUCUGUGUGAAAGACGGGGCACUGGUUCAACUUCCAGCCCAGCCCAAUGAGUUAAGGAGUCAGCAUUUCCACAGCCUCAGGGUGGGCUGCAGCUGAGGCUCAGAUUUGAUCCCUGACCCAGGAAGCCAAAAAGAAAAACACCAAAACCAAAAUAGAGUGGGUUUCAAAAUAGAGUGAGCAAAUAAUAUGACCAAGGAUAAGGACAUUUUAUAAUCAUAAAGGGAGAAAUUAAGAGUUCGCAUCACGGUGCAGCGGAAAUGAAUCCGACUGCAGCCCAAUCUGCUACAGGGACGAUGCUGACCUUGCUGUACCACAGCAGGAAUUCCUGUUUUUGUUUUUUUUUAGCUGCAACCUCGGCCUGUAGAAGUUCCUGGGCCAGGGAUCUAACAAUGGCAGUGACAACCCUGGAUCCUUAACCUGAACUUCAAGACCUCUCUAUUUUGAAUAGUGUGGAUGUGGUUACAGUUUUCCCUUGCUUUCUCCUUCUCUCUCUCUCUCUCUUUUUUCUCCCCUCUUUGUACGGCCAUCCCGGUGGCAUAAUGUAGUUCCUGGGCUAGGGAGCUGUAACUGGAGCCUACUCUACAGCCACAGCAUCAUGGGAUCUGAGCCGUGUCUGUGACCUAUACCACGGUUCAUGGCAAUGCCAGAUCCUUAACUCACUGAUCAAAGCCGGGGAUCCAACCCACAUCCUUAUGGAUAUUAGUCAGGUUUGUUACCGUGGAGCCACAAUGGGAACACUUCAUUUUUGUUUUUUAUUUUUGGCUUUUUAGGUCUGCACCUGCAGCCUAUGGACGUUCCCAGGCUAAGGGUCCAAUUGGAGCUACAGCUGUGAGCCUACACCACAGCCACAGCAACAUGGGAUCCUAGAUGCAUCUGCAACCUACACACCAGCUCAUGGCAACGUGAGAUCCCUGACCCACCGAGCGAGGCCAGGGAUGGAACCUGCAUCCUCAUGGAUGCUAGUCGGGAUUUGUCUCUGCCGCACCACAAAGGGAACACCUCUUUUUUUUUUUUUUAGGUUUUGUUUUGUUUUUCCUUUUUUGGCUGCCCUGUGGUAUAUGGAGUUUCCAGGCCAGGGAACUGAACCACAUUUUCAGCCUGCACAACAGGGAUCAAACCUGCAUCCUGGCACUGCAGAAACACCUCCGAUCCCAUUGCACCAUCCAGGGAGUUCCUCCAUGCUUUUACUUGGUGUACUUUAAUUUUUGGUGUGUAUUUCACAUGAGAAACAAAUUGUUUUCUGUGUUUUAAAAAAUCCAUUUGAGGGGAGUUCCCUGGUGGCCCAGUGGUUAGGAUUUGGUGCUUUCACUAUUGCUGUUUGGGUUUGAUCCCUGGUUUGGGGACUGAGAUCCCACAUUAAG
rnacentral:lncRNA from 1 species